GGCGAGCGAAGCGGGAAGAGCUCAAAUUUAUAAUCUGGCACCUUCGGUGUCCGAGUUGUAAUCUCUAGAAAUGUUUUCCGCGUUGGACCGCACACAAGUCUGUUGGAAUACAGCGGCAUAGUGGUGAGACCCCCGUAUAUGGUGCGGACGCCCAGCGCUUUGUGAUACAUUUUCGAAGAGUCGAGUUGUUUGGGAAUGCAGCUCAAAUUGGGUGGUAAAUUCCAUCUAAAGCUAAAUAUUGGCGAGAGACCGAUAGCGAACAAGUACCGUGAGGGAAAGAUGAAAAGCACUUUGGAAAGAGAGUUAACAGUACGUGAAAUUGUUGGAAGGGAAACGCUUGAAGUCAGACUUGCUUGCCGAGCAAUCGGUUUGCAGGCCAGCAUCAGUUUUCCGGGAUGGAUAAUGGUAGAGAGAAGGUAGCAGUUUCGGCUGUGUUAUAGCUCUCUGCUGGAUACAUCUUGGGGGACUGAGGAACGCAGUGUGCCUUUGGCGGGGGUUUCGACCUCUUCACACUUAGGAUGCUGGUGGAAUGGCUUUAAACGACCCGUCUUGA
rnacentral:rRNA from 1 species